GACAGAGGGUGCAAACGUUGUUCGGAAUUACUGGGCGUAAAGCGCACGUAGGCGGACUAUUAAGUCAGGGGUGAAAUCCCGGGGCUCAACCCCGGAACUGCCUUUGAUACUGGUAGUCUCGAGUCCGGAAGAGGUGAGUGGAAUUCCGAGUGUAGAGGUGAAAUUCGUAGAUAUUCGGAAGGAACACCAGUGGCGAAGGCGGCACUCCUGGCCCAGUACUGACGCUGAGGUGCG
rnacentral:rRNA from 1 species